CCUGCCUCACUCUUCUUAGGUUUAGAGCAGGUUUGUAAUUCAUAGUCUUAACACUCAAAUAUGCAACAAUGUAACUAUGUAUUUCUCUAUUAGAAUUAUUCACUUAGCUCUUGAACCCCAAUUUCUGCCCCACAGCAAAAUUAAAUUGCUUAUUAAAAUAAUUUGGUUACUUUCAUGUUAACUCAGUCUCUUUGUAAUAAAUAAUAUUUUACAUUUUCUUUCCCUAAUUCUUCCCUUCUUUUUUUUUUCCCCCUUGGUGAAAACUGUGUUCAGUGAAAGCUUGUAUAUCAUCCGGGUAAGUGGGUAAUGCCAUCUGGUUCCACAUGCUCUUGUUUGUUCGCUUUACAGCUAGUGUAGUGGGGACCCUCUGCCUAGAUUUGCCUCUGUUCCCACUGCAUCCACUACAGUUGUGACUCAUUAUUAUACUUCUCAGCAAAGCAAUGUGCGGUGCUUGUCCCUGGAAGGUUGGCCAUUUCUGCUUGCAUCUCUCUCACCUGACUAGGCUUCUGCCAUGACACACAGAAGUGACACAGGCCCAUGAAGUGUGACUUAACAGCCAACCUAUCUCCAGUUCUAGAAGGUCUAGAUUUUUAGUUAAAUAAUAUCCCGGCCCACCUCCACCACCCUCAUUAUACUCAUCUAGGGGCACUAUCAGCUAUUUUUUAAAUCUUCCAUUAGGACAUGUGGGACCUCUUGGACCCCUUCACACAAUAUAGAACUCAGGGAAAUCUUCAGAGUAAAGAGGGUUGGAUGCAAUGUCAAAUAUGCUCUUUAAGGAAAAGAUAAAGGCCUUUAUCUUUUAUCUAUUAAAGUAUAAGGUGUGGUGGCUCAUGCCCAUAAUCCCAGCACUUUGGAAGGCUGAGGUGGGUGGAUCACCUGAAGUAAGAAGUUUGAGACCAGCAUGGCCAACAUGGUGAAAUCCUGUCUCUACUAAAAACACAAAAAUUAGCAGGGCGUGGUAGCAGCUGCCUGUAAUCCCAGCUACUUGGGAGGCUGAGGAAGAACUGCUUGAAUCCAGGAGGUGGAGGUUGCAGUGAGCUGGGAUCACGCUACAGCAUUCCAGCCUGGGUGACAAAAGUGAGGCUCUGACGCAAAAAAAAAAAAAAAAAAAAAAGUAUAAGGUUAUCCAUGUAUAAGGCUGGCUGGUAGUGAUUCUGGGUUUUCCUGGGGAGAGGCUCGCAGAGGCAACUGACAGCCCCUCUGCCACUGCCACAGCAGCAGUUCUGUCCCUGCUGCCUUCAGACUGGGGAAGAAACAAAGAGCCUGAGGGCUACACCUGAACUUACAGAACAUCACAGUCACCACACAGAGAGGAGCCAGUCUUUCCUCCCUGUGGGUCCUUGUCCCCUAUUCCCCAACAAGUGGAGUCUCUGGCCCAGGCCAGCAGUACAGCCACCCCACCCCCAGGCUGAACACUCCCAGUGGCAGGGGCUCCAUGUUUCUCAGAAGUGGAACUCCCAGUGGCAACUGAAAGCCCCUCUGACACUGCUGUGCAGUGACACUGACCCUGCUGUCUGCAGACCAGGGAAGAAACGAAGACUCUAAGUUCCUUAUCCUCACCUCCUGCAAGUUGCAGUCACCCUAAGGAGAGGAGGACAGCCUGUCUCCCACACGUCUCACUCGCAUUUUCUGCUUGUCA
rnacentral:lncRNA from 10 species